AUUGAACGCUGGCGGCAUGCUUUACACAUGCAAGUCGAGCGGCAGCGCGGGGGCAACCCUGGCGGCGAGCGGCGAACGGGUGAGUAAUGCAUCGGAACGUAUCCUCGAGUGGGGGAUAACCCAGCGAAAGUUGGGCUAAUACCGCAUGAGCUCUGAGGAGGAAAGCGGGGGACCUGCGAGGGCCUCGCGCUGGAGGAGCGGCCGAUGUCCGAUUAGCUAGUUGGUGGGGUAAAGGCUUACCAAGGCGACGAUCGGUAGCUGGUCCGAGAGGAUGAUCAGCCACACUGGGACUGAGACACGGCCCAGACUCCUACGGGAGGCAGCAGUGGGGAAUUUUGGACAAUGGGGGCAACCCUGAUCCAGCCAUGCCGCGUGAGUGAAGAAGGCCUUCGGGUUGUAAAGCUCUUUCGGACGGAACGAAAUGGGCGGGACUAAUACUCCUGUCUGAUGACGGUACCGUAAGAAGAAGCACCGGCUAACUACGUG
rnacentral:rRNA from 1 species